rnacentral:rRNA from 1 species
CGGACGGGUGAGUAACGCGUGGGUAACCUGCCUCAUACAGGGGGAUAACAGUUAGAAAUGACUGCUAAUACCGCAUAAGCGCACAGGACCGCAUGGUCAAGUGUGAAAAACUCCGGUGGUAUGAGAUGGACCCGCGUCUGAUUAGCUGGUUGGUGAGGUAACGGCCCACCAAGGCGACGAUCAGUAGCCGACCUGAGAGGGUGGCCGGCCACAUUGGGACUGAGACACGGCCCAAACUCCUACGGGAGGCAGCAG